GGGAAGAGCUCAAAUUUAUAAUCUGGCACCUUCGGUGUCCGAGUUGUAAUCUCUAGAAAUGUUUUCCGCGUUGGACCGCACACAAGUCUGUUGGAAUACAGCGGCAUAGUGGUGAGACCCCCGUAUAUGGUGCGGACGCCCAGCGCUUUGUGAUACAUUUUCGAAGAGUCGAGUUGUUUGGGAAUGCAGCUCAAAUUGGGUGGUAAAUUCCAUCUAAAGCUAAAUAUUGGCGAGAGACCGAUAGCGAACAAGUACCGUGAGGGAAAGAUGAAAAGCACUUUGGAAAGAGAGUUAACAGUACGUGAAAUUGUUGGAAGGGAAACGCUUGAAGUCAGACUUGCUUGCCGAGCAAUCGGUUUGCAGGCCAGCAUCAGUUUUCCGGGAUGGAUAAUGGUAAAGAGAAGGUAGCAGUUUCGGCUGUGUUAUAGCUCUCUGCUGGAUACAUCUUGGGGGACUGAGGAACGCAGUGUGCCUUUGGCGGGGGUUUCGACCUCUUCACACUUAGGAUGCUGGUGGAAUGGCUUUAAACGACCCGUCU
rnacentral:misc_RNA from 1 species